GACGAACGCUGGCGGCGGGCUUAACACAUGCAAGUCGAACGAAGUGGCGAACGGGUGAGUAACGCGUAAUCAACCUGCCCUUCAGAGGGGGACAACAGUUGGAAACGACUGCUAAUACCGCAUACUGAAGAGGGGGAUUGCGUGGUAUUGGCUCGUUGGGGGGGGAACGGCACACCAAGGCGAUGAUCAGUAGCCGGGCUGAGAGGAGGAACGGCCACAUUGGGACUGAGACCCGGCCCAGACUCCGACGGGAGGCAGCAGUGGGGAAUCUUCCGCAAUGGACGAAAGUCUGACGGAGCAACGCCGCGUGAGUGAUGACGGCCUUCGGGUUGUAAAGCUCUGUUAAUCGGGACGCGGUACCGGAAUAGAAAGCCACGGCUAACUACGUGCCAGCAGCCGCGGUAAUAC
rnacentral:rRNA from 1 species